GAUGAACGCUGGCGGCGUGCCUAAUACAUGCAAGUCGAGCGAACGUACGAGAAGCUUGCUUUUCUGAUGUUAGCGGCGGACGGGUGAGUAACACGUGGAUAACCUACCUAUAAGACUGGGAUAACUUCGGGAAACCGGAGCUAAUACCGGAUAAUAUUUUGAACCGCAUGGUUCAAAAGUGAAAGACGGUCUUGCUGUCACUUAUAGAUGGAUCCGCGCUGCAUUAGCUAGUUGGUAAGGUAACGGCUUACCAAGGCAACGAUGCAUAGCCGACCUGAGAGGGUGAUCGGCCACACUGGAACUGAGACACGGUCCAGACUCCUACGGGAGGCAGCAGUAGGGAAUCUUCCGCAAUGGGCGAAAGCCUGACGGGGCAACGCCGCGUGAGUGAUGAAGGUCUUCGGAUCGUAAAACUCUGUUAUUAGGGAAGAACAUAUGUGUAAGUAACUGUGCACAUCUUGACGGUACCUAAUCAGAAAGCCACGGCUAACUACGUG
rnacentral:rRNA from 1 species